GAUGAACGCUGGCGGCGUGCCUAAUACAUGCAAGUCGAGCGAACAGACGAGGAGCUUGCUCCUCUGACGUUAGCGGCGGACGGGUGAGUAACACGUGGAUAACCUACCUAUAAGACUGGGAUAACUUCGGGAAACCGGAGCUAAUACCGGAUAAUAUAUUGAACCGCAUGGUUCAAUAGUGAAAGACGGUUUUGCUGUCACUUAUAGAUGGAUCCGCGCCGCAUUAGCUAGUUGGUACGGUAACGGCUUACCAAGGCAACGAUGGGUAACCGACCUGAGAGGGUGAUCGGCCACACUGGAACUGAGACACGGUCCACACUCCGACGGGGGGCAGCAGUAGGGAAUCUUCCGCGAUGGGCGAAAGCCUGACGGAGCAACGCCGCGUGAGUGAUGAAGGUCUUCGGAUCGUAAAACUAUGUUAUUAGGGAAGAACAAAUGUGUAAGUAACUAUGCACGUCUUGACGGUACCUAAUCAGAAAGCCACGGCUAACUCCGUG
rnacentral:rRNA from 1 species